AUUGAACGCUGGCGGCAGGCCUAACACAUGCAAGUCGAACGAGUGGCGGACGGGUGAGUAAUGUCUGGGAAACUGCCCGAUGGAGGGGGAUAACUACUGGAAACGGUAGCUAAUACCGCAUACCAUCGGAUGUGCCCAGAUGGGAUUAGCUAGUAGGUGGGGUAACGGCUCACCUAGGCGACGAUCCCUAGCUGGUCUGAGAGGAUGACACGCCACACUGGAACGGAGACACGGUCCAGACUCCGACGGGAGGCAGCAGUUGGGAAUAUUUCACAAUGGGCGCAAGCCUGAUGCAGCAAUGCCGCGUGUAUGAAGAAGGUCUUCGGGUUGUAAAGUAUUUUCAGCGAGGAGGCGUUACCCGCAGAAGAAGAACCGGCUAACUCCGUGCCAGCAGCCGCGGUAAUUC
rnacentral:rRNA from 1 species